rnacentral:lncRNA from 1 species
GAUGAUAAUGUACAUUACAUGAUAACUAUGAACAAUAAAUAAAAAUGAAAAAUAUAUUCAUCCAUUUUAAAUUUGUACAUACAAUACAUGCCAUUACUGAUAACAUAUAAAAUCACACAUUAAAAUUUUAAACACAGUAUUUAUCAGAAGAAGGCAAUCUUUAAAAGACAAGCGCAUUACAUUUGCGCGAACUUAGCUAGUAAUUUUUUUCUUACGAUAGCAAACAAGAUUUUUAUUGUAUUUGUGCGUAUCUAUUUUUCAGCUAAAACAGUGGAAAAUACAUCAACAAUUGAGGAUAAAUACGUAGGGAAAAAAAGAGAACUUAUGUUGAAUAUUUUUCAUAUUUUUGAUUAUAAUUCCAAAAGAUGCUAAUCAUUUAAUAAACUACAUUUUCCAUUCACUACGCUUUAAUUUCCAUGUUUAAGAGUAGAUUUUUUUUUUAGGCAUCCCUAUGAUCAACAAACGCUGCAUGAUCUUCCAAUGACCGGGAAUAAUUUAUUCGUCGUGUUAAGCCAUUUUGUUUAUACUCUUGAAAUUUUCUUGAAAAUUCAAAUGAACAACAUACCAAGUUUAAAAGACUUAACAAAUUAACUGUUUUACGUCGAAAUUGGAAAGGGAAAAAACAUAUAUACAUUGUUAUAUUAAAUUCAUCUUUAUAUCCUGAUAUAUCAUAAAUUUUAACUUUAUUAACCUUUGAAAUGAAUGCACUCACAUAUAAUUAAAUAUUUGUGUAAAUGUGUUGCUUUUUAUGCCAAUAUAAUAGUAAUACAAGCUCAUAUAAUGCACCGCACAAAACGAUAAGCAAAAUUUCUAGUUUAAAGUCAAAUAUUCAUGGUUACAUGGUUUAAUAAAUAAAUAAAUUUCAACAAACAAUAUUCCAUGAAAAAGUCUAAUUAACGUUUCACAGACGUCAUUUAAAAAUUUAAGUGUUUAGUAUUAAAAUAUAUAUAUGUGCGCUUUAGUCAUUUGACUCGGGUUUCUGGUUUUUAUAAUGUUUAGGAAAUUAUCAAACCAAUGCAUACAUUAUACUAAAUUAAGUUAUCUGUGCACUUAAUUUCACAUUUACUUCGAAUCCAUAACGUAUAACCACCGAAAAUAAAUUUCAUUCUGUGAUUAUUGGAGGAGAACUUCAGAUACUUAUUUACUUUCGGGUUCUUCUGGUCGUAGUUCAUCAAAUCACGACCUUGAAAAACAAUUAAAGCAGAUUGUGACAAAAAUAUGGAGCAUGUGAGAAACAAAUCAAUGAUAAAGAGAUGUUUAGAUGCUUUUUCUUCUCAUGCGUUCCCAUUUAGAAAAACAUUAUCAUAUAGGUUGUUUAUUGGUUUGGUGUUUUUAUAUAUAUUUUCGUUACAAAUUGUAAAAGAAAUAUAUAUAAAAACACCAAAACAAUAAACAACCUAUAUGAUAAUCUUUUUUAAAUGUUAAUUAAAGAUCACCGGAAGUCAAUAAUCCAAUAUGAGUAGAACUCGAUAAAUAAGUCUACGUACAAGUAAAACCUUUUUAAUUUUAAAGUAUUAUGUGACUUAAAUUUGGAAAACCUACAGAUCUCUAUUGUGAGAUUGUCUUUAGAAUCACAAAAAAAAACACCAACUAAAAGUAGCAGGAAAAUAGAAAUGACGUACCCCCAAUAAUCCAAUUAAGAAAUCACAUGAUUGCAAUACAUCGUUUGCAAGCAGACAAUAGGUUAGCAUUCAACAAAUAUAAGAGUCUCCAAUUCAUCAUUUUAUAAAACUGCUUAACAUAAAUCUAAAAACAAAUCGUUCUUUUUUUCACACAUUCGAAAAAAUUACAACGUAUUAAUACAUCAAAUGUACAUAGAAUAUGUUUUACUUUGUGUAUGUAUGCCCUUCUAAACGAUUAAAGCUGACUGUAAUUGAAAGAGAGAGUAUUUCCAAUAUCAAAUAUUUUGUCUGAAAACAUUUCCAAAGUUUACACGUUUAACCUUUUGAGUAAAACAGCUUAUGCAUUUUAUUUUAGUUUAUAUUCGACAUAGAAAUACAACUUCUAAUGGUAUAUUAGACUGUUAAGAUAAAUGUGUACUCACGUCUACCGAGACAUAGUUUAAAGCAACUUUAUCUUCGAAGGUUUACUUUGUAUAUACGAACAGUUCCAAAACAUGCGUAAACAGUCAAUGAACAAAACUUAUGAAUAAAAGAGCAAUGUAACAAAUGCAUGAUUUGAAUCAUGAUAAGUGAUCACCUUUUACAGUUAUUCAUAUGUUAUUGUAAAGAUGACUUUUGUGGUAAAAUGCAAUUUUUUUUACAAAUGGGGAAAUGAGUUACAAUCAAACAUUCA